rnacentral:rRNA from 1 species
UACGUAGGCAGCAAGCGUUGUUCGGAAUUACUGGGCGUAAAGAGUGUGUAGGCGGUGUUCCAAGUCUGGUGUGAAAUCUCCCGGCUUAACUGGGAGGGUGCAUUAGAAACUGGAAUGCUAGAGGAUGGGAGAGGUAAGCGGAAUUCCUGGUGUAGCGGUGAAAUGCGUAGAUAUCAGGAGGAACACCUGUGGUGUAGACAGCUUACUGGACCAUUUCUGACGCUGAGACACGAAAGCGUGGGUAGCAAACAGG